rnacentral:misc_RNA from 1 species
GGAAGUAAAAGUCGCAACAAGGUCUCCGUUGGUGAACCAGCGGAGGGAUCAUUACAGAGUUGCAAAACUCCCAAACCAUUGUGAACGUUACCUAUCCCGUUGCUUCGGCGGGCGGCCCGGGCCCCGCGCCCGGCGCCCUCCGGCCCCCCGUGGGCGCCCGCCGGAGGUAAACCAAACCCUUGAAUUGCAUGGCCUCUCUGAGUCUUCUGUACUGAAUAAGUCAAAACUUUCAACAACGGAUCUCUUGGUUCUG